rnacentral:ncRNA from 2 species
CCCUAAAGUCACAGGCGGGGCAUCUGCGUUUAUGAUGAUAAAACUGACCAUUCGGGAAAGUCCGGUGCAAAUCCGGUGCUGUGCCGCAACAGUGAUGGGAACGCCCUCAGCCUGAAUGCCGCCUGGUCGGUUUGUCCCAG